CAGCAGCCGCGGUAAUACGAAGGGUGCAAGCGUUAAUCGGAAUUACUGGGCGUAAAGGGUGCGUAGGCGGGAUCUUAAGUCAGGGGUGAAAUCCCGAGGCUCAACCUCGGAACUGCCUUUGAUACUGGGGUCCUUGAGUCCGGAAGAGGUGAGUGGAACUGCGAGUGUAGAGGUGAAAUUCGUAGAUAUUCGCAAGAACACCGGUGGCGAAGGCGGCUCACUGGUCCGGAACUGACGCUGAGGCACGACAGCGUGGGGAGCAAACAGGAUUAGAACCCGCGUAGUCCCUGUCUCUUAUACA
rnacentral:rRNA from 1 species